GCUUGCAUGAUCUAUCUUGCAUUCGAUCAAGAGAAAGAAGCCACUCACCUAGUAAGCACAAACUGGUGGAUUGGAGAAGCUCGCCUCAUAAUCAAGAAAGAGGAGAUGAACCACUAUGGCAUCCAAAACACCAUAGUCAGAGUGAGUUCCCUGAACUCGGGUGUCUUCGAUCGGAUGAAAAUCAGGAAGACUCUAGGCAUUCUUGAAUUUGCUCUUUUCCUAAUUUCCCAAAUUCUGUCUCAAUGAAGUUGCUCAUAUGGAACUGUCGUGAUGCCGGCAACAAAGUUUUUAGAAGAACCAUGAAGGAACUUGAGAAAAAUCACAGACCUUCUAUUAUUGUUCUGAUGGAAACAAAAUUUGAGCUUAGUUCAAUGGGUUCUUUUUUUAACAAAUUGGGGUUCACUACUUCUUCCCAUGUAGACCUUGUUGGUAGGUGUGGGGGCAUCUGGGUCCUUUGGGAUCCUUUUAAAGCUACUGUAAAAGCCCUUGAGGUUAAUGCCCAAGUUAUUCAUGCAAAAAUUCAACGUGAUAACCAUGCAAAUUGGGUCCUGUCAGUGGUUUAUGCCAUCCCAAUUUCCAGAAAUUGUGAACUGUUAUGGGAUAAUCUUGAAUCUAUUGCCGACAACAUGAAUCUGCCCUGGCUUGUGGCUGGAGAUUUCAAUGACAUAGCUUCUCAGGGGAAAAACGUAGUCUCAGCCCAACCCUCUCUCAUGUUCGAACCCGUAAGUUCAAUGCCAGAAUGAAUAGGUGUAAUCUGAUGGAUUUUGGGUGCUCUGGGCCCCAACUCACUUGGUCCAAUGGAAGGCAAGGACUGGCUAACACAUUGGAGAGACUAGACCGUGCUGUUUGCAAUUUUGAAUGGUGUAUAGCUUUCACUGAAGGUGCAAUUCGUAAUUUACCAAGAACCUACUCUAACCACUCUCCUUUGAUUGUGCUCACACAAGGAAAAUCAAAUUAAACACAGGUGGUUGUGCUCGGGGCGAUCCAGGAGCAGGGGGGUUUGGAGGCCUCUUUCGCGAUGAAUAUGGCAUUUGGCUGUGCAGUUUUUUGGGAAGUUAGAGACAUGCUUUAGCUUGGAAGCAGAAAUGUGGGGCAUCUACAGAGGUCUUACCAUAGUGCUCGAGAAAGGUCUCGCCGAAGUUGUCAUUGAGACUGACUCCAUCAUAUCCCAAGAAAUGAUCACAAACGGGCCUCUCCCAAACUGCCCGUAUAGAGCCAUUAUGGAAGAUGCUCGUCACCUGCUCCAGCGGUGCAAUUGUUCCAUCCAGUACAUUGUGAGAGGCCAACCAAUGUGCGGACAAGCUCGCCAACAUGGGUGCAGAUCAAGUGGAGUACUUGCUGGUUAUGAAAGAACCUCCUCUAGAAGUUAGAAGCUUGAUUAUAGCAGAUAUGGUGGGCACAACGUUUUGGAGGCUCUAGCUUAGCUACCUCUCUUGUCUGUGUUUUUGUUGUUCUGGUUUUUUAAUUUCCGAUGUAACAGAAAAAAAAAUGUACAUGAAAAUGGGGAGACUAUUGUAUAUCAGUCACUCUUGUUCUUUCGGUGGGACCAACUCUAGGUUCUAUUUUGAUAACAUGAAUUGUUAUUUUUAAGAGUGUUAUGUAAAAAAUUAAAUUGCACAAAAAUUGAUAAUAUUUGAUCAAAUCAUAUUUUUAUUCGAAUAA